rnacentral:tRNA from 1 species
GGGGGUAUAGCUCAGUGGCAGAGCAUUCAACUGCAGAUGGAGAGGUCCGCGGUUCAAAUCCGGGUGCCCCCU